UGAAAACGUUUAAUUUAAGAAAUAUUACAAACCUUGCGAGUUGCUCAUUAAAAAAUUUGGCUUACGUGAUCCAAUACCGUUUAUUCAGAAUUGGCUGUCUAAAUUUAAAAAUGGAGGAUGGCUAGACAGCCACCUGGCGAAAUGCCAACUUCAAAGAGAUUUUUGUCUAUGUUAUUCCCAUAGUAGUUCUGAAAAUAAUAACUAAAUAAACUACUGGUGCAGAGUAUUUGGAAUUUUCCAAUCUGGUUGGAAUCGGAUUUGCCGGAUAUGGAAUAAAUUAGGAUAAUUGGCGAAAAAUUGAGAUAAUUUAGUUUCUCAAAAUGGCGAGCUUAUGUUUUCAAAAGCGAAUGGAAAAUAAAC